AGUUAACUGUUUCAGACAAAUAUUGAGUAGCGACAAUAUUUAACAGUUAAUACUUAAAUUAAGUAGUGAUUAAAGUUCUCCCAAACACACUACACAGACUCAGGCACACUUGUUCAAUGACUAGUGUGCCUU
rnacentral:sRNA from 1 species